GACGAACGCUGGCGGCGUGCUUAACACAUGCAAGUCGAACGGAAAGGCCCCUUUGGGGGUCCUCGAGUGGCGAACGGGUGAGUAACACGUGAGUAACCUGCCCUUGACUUCGGGAUAACUUCAGGAAACUGGGGCUAAUACCGGAUAGGAAUCCUUGCUGCAUGGUGGGGGUUGGAAAGCUUCGGCGGUUUUGGAUGGACCCGCGGCUUAUCAGCUUGUUGGUGGGGCAGUGGCGUACCAAGGCUUUGACGGGUAGCCGGCCUGAGAGGGCGACCGGCCACAUUGGGCCUGGGGUACGCCCCAGACCCCAACGGGGGGCAGCGGGGGGAAUUAUGGCACAGUGGCGGGAGGCCUGUGGCGAAACCCCCCGGUGCGGAAUACCGGCCUUCGGGUGGAAACCGCUUUCAGCAGGGGCGAAGCUUGUGGUGACGGUACCUGCAGAAGAAGCACCGGCUAACUACGUG
rnacentral:rRNA from 1 species